CAGCAACUUGGAGGAAUGAAUAGCGAAAGCUUAUUACGUAAAAUGUAAGAAUGAUUAUAUCAUAUAAAAUUCUGAGUAUAUUUUGAUAAUGACAAAAUAUAUUUAAAGGUCUUGACCAAUUCACGUGCCAGCAGUCGCGGUAAUACGUGUAAGACAAGUGUUAUUCAUCUUUAAUGGGUUUAAAGGGUACCUAAACGGUAAAAAUAGCCAAUAAAGGAACUAUUUUACUAGAGUUUUAUAGGAGGUGUGAAAACUAUCGUACGGAAGGUGUAGUGAUGAAAUACGUUGAUACCUAACGGACUGUCAACGGCGAAAGCGUUAUCCUAUGUGUAAACUGACGUUGAGGGACGAAGGCUAGGGUCACCAAAAGGAUUAGAUACCCAAGCAGUCCUAGCAGACAAUUAUGAAUGCCAUAUGUAAUAUUAAUAU
rnacentral:sRNA from 1 species